rnacentral:rRNA from 1 species
UUGGAGGGCAAGUCUGGUGCCAGCAGCCGCGGUAAUUCCAGCUCCAAUAGCGUAUAUUAAAGUUGUUGCAGUUAAAAAGCUCGUAGUUGAAUUUCGGGGUUCUACCGUUGGUCGGGCUAUUGUCUGUACUGGCGUGUAGAAUUUCUACCUUCUGGGGAACUAUCAUGUUAUUAAUUUAGCGUGGUAGGAAACCAGGACCUUUACCUUGAAAAAAUUAGAGUGUUUAAAGCAGGCUAACGCUUGAAUACAUUAGCAUGGAAUAAUGAAAUAGGACGUUCGAUCCUAUUUUGUUGGUUUCUAGGAUUGACGUAAUGAUUAAUAGGGAUAGUUGGGGGCGUUAGUAUUCAAUUGUCAGAGGUGAAAUUCUUGGAUUUAUUGAAGACUAACUACUGCGAAAGCAUUUGCCAAGGAUGUUUUCAUUAAUCAAGAACGAAAGUUAGGGGAUCGAAGACGAUCAGAUACCGUCGUAGUCUUAACCAUAAACUAUGCCGACUAGGGAUCGGACGGUGGUUUUUUUAUGCCCCGUUCGGCGCCUUACGGGAAA